rnacentral:lncRNA from 1 species
AUGGUCUCUUCCUCAACCAGCAGCAGUAUGCUGAGGACAUACUCGCUGUGGCGGCAAUGUCAGACUGCAACCCUGUGGCCACUCCACUACCUACUCAGCUCAAUCAAAUCCCGCAACAAAAAGAGCUGUUCUCGGAUCCAACAUACUUCCGGAGUCUCGCAGGAAAGCUUCAGUACCUGACAUUAACAAGACCCGACAUUCAGUAUUCUGUCAACUACAUAUGUCAGAAAAUGCACGCCCCAUCUGUCUCGGAUUUCAAUCUGCUGAAACGAAUCCUCAGAUAUAUCAGGGGAACGACAGAACUUGGCAUUAACUUCACAAGUGAAACAGAUUUCGCGGUGAGAGCUUACAGUGAUAGUGAUUGGGGAGGCUGUUCCUCCACUCGUCGCUCCACUGGAGGAUUCUGCACCUUCCUUGGCUCCAAUCUGAUCUCGUGGUCAUCUCUGAAGCAAAAUUCAGUCUCCCGCAGCUCGACUGAAGCAUAAUACAGGUCACUGUCUGAAACCGCAACAGAACUCCAUUGGAUUGGCUCUGUUAUGCGAGAACUUGGGAUUCCCAUGAAGACCACUCCGGAACUAUAUGGUGAUAAUCUAUCUUCUGUGCACCUCACUGCUAAUCCAGCUUUCCACAAGCGCUCGAAGCACUUUGAGAUUGACUAUCACUAUGUGAGAGAGCGAGUAGCUCUCAAAGCACUUGUUGUUCGUCACAUCCCAGCUCGCUUCCAGCUUGCUGAUAUCUUCACUAAGUCUCUUCCGGCGGCGGCGUUCCAAAGUCUUCGAUCCAAACUUGGCGUCGUCGAACCUCUGUCGCAAAGUUUGAGGGGGCUAUAGGAACUCUACCGGCAAGUGAGCAAAACGACACGGUUUUUGCCAAAACGCUUCACUGCAGAACAGAAAGGCAAGGCCAUUCUGAUUCCGUCUGAUGAUAAAGCCCAAGUUCCGCAUAGACCCAGCAAGCAGCCUGUCAAGGUUUUGUCAUCAUCCAGUCAACAAAACUCUCAACGGUCGACGAUCACCAAAAGCAGCGUACACAAGCCAGCUGCUACUUGUACGACUGAAGGAGCGCAUAUGAUCGAGCUGUCAAAUCCAUUCUCAGCCUUAGAUGAUCUCAUAGACACCUGAUGAUGACACCUGUGCGUGCUCUAGGGUUUUACAUUUCCUGCAUAAAUAGAUCAACUUUGUAUCAAACCAAAUCAAGAAAAUAAGAAAGUUAUUCAACAAAACUCUAUCUUCUUCACUUUCCUUUAUGGUAUCAGAGCAUCAGGGAUAGCUCCUUGGAUGCGAUGGCUAUGGAGGUGUUUAAACCACCCUCUUUCAACAUCACCAACUGUGUUACGGUCACUCUUACUGAUCGUAACUACAUCCUUUGGAAGUCGCAGUUUGAGGCGUUUCUCAACGGCCAAGGACUGCUCGGCUUCGUUACUGGUCAGACUCCUCAACCACCUGCUACCAUCCCUGUUCCAAACAUCAACGGCAACAACGAUGAAGCUCCGCACCCUGAUUAUCACCGAUGGUUUCAAACAGACCAAAUGGUGAAAUCUUGGCUCCUUGGCUCCUUCUCUGAAGACAUCCUCAGUGUAGUCAUAGACUGCUCAACGUCUCUGGAAGUCUGGAACUCUCUUGCUAGCCACUACAACCGCUCCACAAGCUCUCGCCUGUUUGAGCUCCAGAGAAAACUUCAAACUAUGUCGAAAGCUGAGAAGCCAAUGGAUGAGUACCUGAAGGAAAUAAAGAACAUCUGUUCUUAGCUCUCCUCCAUUGGUAGUCCCGUUCCAGAACGCAUGAAAGUGUUUGCAGCGCUUCAUGGGUUAAACAGAAACUAUGAGCCUAUCAAAACCACCAUUGAGAGCUCUAUGGAUUCCUUCCCAACUCCGACCUUUGAAGAAGUUGUCCCACGUCUCACAAGCUAUGAUGACCGCCUUCAGAGUUACGCAAGCCAGAGCUCCGUUACUCCUCAUUUGGCGUUCUACUCUAACAGAGGACGAGGCAACUCUCACCGUGGAAGAGGUCGAGGCAGAGGAAACUACUCCACGAGGGGCCGAGGCUUUCAUCAACAUUUGUCUCCCUCCUCCAACUCCUCUGUCUCCUCCGAAUCUGAAGCAAGACCGGUUUGUCAGAUCUGUGGUCGCGUUGGACAUCAUGCUCUGAAGUGCUGGCACCGUUUUGAUAACACCUAUCAGAUGGAGGAUGUUCACAAUGCGCUAGCAGCCCUUCGCAUUACUGAUGUCACAAAAUCUACUGGUCACGAGUGGUUCCCUGACUCCGGAGCUACGUCUCACGUCACAAACUCCCCUCACCACCUGCAGUAUUCUCAGGCCUACACAGGCUCUGACUCUGUCAUGGUUGGCAACGGCGAGUUCCUGCCUAUCACUCACACCGGCUCUGCAUCUAUUGCUACCACGUCAGGUACUCUUCCUCUCACUGAUGUUCUAGUGUGUCCUGAUAUUGCGAAAUCACUUAUGUCAGUAUCAAAGGCUACUGUGGAUUACCCUUGUGCAUUUGUCUUUGAUUGUGAUGAUGUCCGUGUGUUUGAUAAGGGAACCAAACAGCUUCUUCUUCGAGGAAGCCGUAAUAAGGGCCUCUAUAAGCUGCCAGAAUCUCCUCAACAGGUGUUCUUCUCCUCGCGACAAGUCUUCACCUCAGAUGAGAUCUGGCAUCAGCGGUUAGGACACCCCAAUCCUCAUAUUCUGCAGCAACUAUCUGCAAACAAGUCUAUCUUCAUCAAUAAAAGCACCAAGAGUCUCUGUGAGGCAUGUCAACUUGGGAAGAGUUCUCGUUUACCUUUUGAAGCGUCCUCCUUUGUAGCAACAAGACCGCUAGAGCGUAUCCACAGUGACCUCUGGGGACCAUCACCGGUGUUGUCUGUGCAAGGAUUUAGAUAUUAUGUCAUCUUUGUAGACCAUUUCACAAGAUUCUGUUGGAUUUUCCCUAUGAAGAAUAAAUCAGAUUUCUAUCAUACCUUUGUUAAGUUCCAAACCCUGGUUCAAAACCAAUUUCAAACCACCAUUGGAACCUUUCAAUGCGAUGGAGGAGGUGAAUUCAUCAGUAACCCCUUCCUCACUCUUCUUCAAACCUCUGGAAUCCAACAGCAUAUCUCUUGUCUGCUUGUGAUGUGUCCAAAUGACAGAAAGAUCAAGACUCACCUCCUCUGUUCACAGCUUCAGACUUUCCACCUUUGUCCUCCACAACCGCAACUCCAGCCUCUCCGUCGUCUGUAGCCUCCUCUACUGGUUCUACUCCUUGUGUGGGACAUAGUUCUGAGUGUACGUCAGGCUUAGAUCCUGCUUCUAUAGGCAACAGCUAUGUACCUACGCAAGGCAGGACAACAUCAGCUGGAGUUCCUACACCAUCAACAUCUCACCCAAUGAUCACAAGAGCUAAGGAUGGAAUAGUCAAACCAAACCCGCGUUAUGCAUUACUUACACAGAAGGCGUCAUACACUGAACCUCGAACGCUGGCUGAAGCAUUAAGCCAUCCUGGAUGGAAUGCCUCCAUGAAUGAAGAAAUUGGCAACUGCAAAGAAACAAAAACAUGGUCUCUCGUUCCCUAUAAAGAGGGAACAAACGUGUUAGGAAAUCGAUGGGUUUAUCGGGUCAAACUAAAUGCUGACGGCACGGUCAAGUCCCUACGCUCAAGACUAGUGGCUAAAGGGUACAAUCAAUCAGAAGGAGUUAAUUACCUUGAGACAUACAGUCCUGUGGUGCGAUCUGCCACGGUUCGUAUGAUCCUGCAUACAGCUACGGUCAUGAAGUGGCACAUUCGACAAAUGGACGUUAAAAACACCUUUCUCCACGGCGACUUGAAUGAAACAGUUUACAUGAAGCAGCCAGCCGGCUUUGUAGACAAGACCAAACCCAAUCACGUGUGUCUUCUUCACAAGGCUCUCUACGGCUUGAAGCAGUCUCCCCGCGCCUGGUUCGAUAAAUUCAGCAACUAUCUCAUCGAGUUUGGGUUCGUUUGCAGUUACAAAGACCCCUAUCUCUUCAUCUACUCUCAUGGGAAGAAUGUCAUCAUGUUUCUUCUCUACGUUGACGGUAUGCUGAUCACCGGAAACUCCUCAUCAGUCAUGGAGACAUUCUUGGAUGAACUCAGCAAGCAAUCCAAGAUGAAGGACUUGGAGCAAAUGCACUACUUUCUUGGCAUUCAAGCGACCUUCCAUGCUAAUGGUCUCUUCCUCAACCAGCAGCAGUAUGCUGAGGACAUACUCGCUGUGGCGGCAAUGUCAGACUGCAACCCUGUGGCCACUCCACUACCUACUCAGCUCAAUCAAAUCCCGCAACAAAAAGAGCUGUUCUCGGAUCCAACAUACUUCCGGAGUCUCGCAGGAAAGCUUCAGUACCUGACAUUAACAAGACCCGACAUUCAGUAUUCUGUCAACUACAUAUGUCAGAAAAUGCACGCCCCAUCUGUCUCGGAUUUCAAUCUGCUGAAACGAAUCCUCAGAUAUAUCAGGGGAACGACAAAACUUGGCAUUAACUUCACAAGUGAAACAGAUUUCGCGGUGAGAGCUUAUAGUGAUAGUGAUUGGGGAGGCUGUUCCUCCACUCGUCGCUCCACUGGAGGAUUCUGCACCUUCCUUGGCUCCAAUCUGAUCUCGUGGUCAUCUCUGAAGCAAAAUUCAGUCUCCCGCAGCUCGACUGAAGCAGAAUACAGGUCACUGUCUGAAACCGCAACAGAACUCCAUUGGAUUGGCUCUGUUAUGCGAGAACUUGGGAUUCCCAUGAAGACCACUCCGGAACUAUAUGGUGAUAAUCUAUCUUCUGUGCACCUCACUGCUAAUCCAGCUUUCCACAAGCGCUCGAAGCACUUUGAGAUUGACUAUCACUAUGUGAGAGAGCGAGUAGCUCUCAAAGCACUUGUUGUUCGUCACAUCCCAGCUCGCUUCCAGCUUGCUGAUAUCUUCACUAAGUCUCUUCCGGCGGCGGCGUUCCAAAGUCUCCGAUCCAAACUUGGCGUUGUCGAACCUCCGUCGCAGAGUUUGAGGGGGGCUAUAGGAACUCUACCGGCAAGUGAGCAAAACGACACGGUUUUGCCAAAACGCUUCACUGCAGAACAGAAGGGCAAGGCCAUUCUGAUUCCGUCUGAUGAUAAAGCCCAAGUUCCGCAUAG